UUCCGCCCAUCCCGCACUCGCGCCGCGUCCCUCUCCUGUCUCUCCCGACCGCGCCCGCCUCUCCUGCCGCCGCCGCACCUCCUCCACCCGGCCAGCCGCUGCCACUCGCGCUCGUCUCCUCCGGCCAGCCUCCGCCCGCAACCUCCUCCCUCCUGUUUUCAGAAGGGAAGGGAAGGGAAUAGAAGAGGAAGAGCGAGCGGGUCAGGCGACGGGAAGGGAAGAGAAGAUGGAGAGCGAGCGGGUCAGGUGACGGCCAUGGCCAUGGCGCUCGCAGAUCCGUCGGCCCCGUCGUCGCCGCUGCGCUCGCAGGUUCCGACUCUUCUGAGCUACUGCUGCAAAUGAUAUUUGGUCCCCAUGGCUUCUACGAGGACCAGAAGCGUUUCUUUCAGCAGCCUCUCCUCUCGCCCAACGAAGGCGGAAGAUGCAAGCGGCAGCUCCUCACCUAGCCGUAUGGUGAUGGAUUCAACGGAGAAGAGGAAGCAUGUUCCCUCCAUUGCCUGGCUUGUUUCAGGAAGUAAGUAUGCAAGAUAGCUUCAGGCAAAGUGUACAGAGGCUGCAGCUGAAGCCGGACUUUGAAGGUUGCAAGUUGGUGGAUCAUCAGUUAUUAUCAGGUUUCUGUUGGAACAAUCACUGAAAACGAUGAUAGACUUUGUCUCACAUGUGCCGCUCACUGAUGAGAAGCACACUGAAGUGAGUGGUGCUAGAGAAGGAGUGUCCGAGAAAGUACACCAAUGAUGCCCUGCAAGGUGAGCAGAAGCUAAGGAGAUGCUCCGUGUAGCCCCUAAGAAGCAAAAAGGGAGCAAAAGAACAUGUCCGCUUCAAGGGAGUAGCCGCUGCUAGCAGAUGUGCCAUGAAGAAAUUAUAGUAGAAGGGCGAUGCGAGCUACUGAUUGUUGAAUUAAAACUUGGAUUGGAUAACCAAAAGCAUAAUCAGAAAAUUGGGUCAAAUGCCUCUGCACCGGCAUGGCGGCCGCCGUCGCGGCGCUGGUCAUUUGCUCUGUCCUUCUCCCCCUCGCCUUCCUCCUCGGUCUUCACUGCAACGGGCAUGGAUCAGAGGAACGCGCAGCCGUCAUCAUCAGCACCAUGAGAUUUCCCGCACCAAGUUUUGAGCUUUGUUUUCUUUCUCCUCAGCUUGCUGCAUUUUUUGCUACCGCGGAGUUUGCGAAUUUUCUGAUGAAUUUCUGUGUUGUAUUUAGGAGGUAGGUCUCAGGAAGCACAUGCAUAUGGAUGGUCAGAUUCACACGCUUCUCACCUACUCAUUUGUUCCAUGAACAAGCCCUCGACUUAGGGCAUCUAAAAUUGCAGCUUUCUUGUGCGACGAUUAGUCUAUAUCAUCCUUAUUUGUUUACAAAGCCAUGCAAUUUAGUUAUCUAUUUAUCUGUUACAAUCAAUUGGCUCAUUUACCAAUCUUCUCAUGGCGCUUUAUUCAAUCAUGUGUGCGUGCGUGUGCGCGUGCGCGUGCGCGCAUGUGUGUGUGUAGGAUGUUAAUCGGUACCUUGGUUUUGAAUUUCAAAGUUGAAGCGAUUAUUAUGCCCAAUCCCAAAUGAACAUUAUUGUUUCUCUGAACUUGAUCUUCUCAAAUGGACACGUCAGGUCAUCUCUCCUUACUAAAGGGGUUAGUUGCAUAAGCAUACAUGAUUCUAUGAGCAAAUUAUCUUCACUAAUCUAUUUUAGAGAGAUGUCUGAUUAGCUGCACAAGCAUACAUGGUUCCGUAGGUAAUUUGUUUACCCUGAUCAUCUUGCUAUCCAGUUCUGUUGGUAUGGUCUGAAACAGAUUCACAAGUAUUUAUGAUGAUCGUUUGCAUGGUGGGUCGUGCUAGCAAUGUGCUUUGCGUAUACAUGAUUCAAAUAUUUGUUAGGUGUUUUAGUUUACACAUUUCUCCUGAAAAUCUGUAUAUGUGUAUGCAGUCAUUUUUUAAUUGGCUUAGUUUACACAUUUCUCUUGAGAAUCUUCAUAUCGAACUGUAAUAGUAUGUAUAAUAUAGGUUCGUAUUUUUCCAUUACUUCUUGCCCAGGUCUUCUAUUUCUGUACCAUACUGUUCUCGUGUCAUUCCCGUUAGUUCUUAUAGGGCCUGCAGAUCAGCUCAGUUUAUAUAUAUAUAUAUAUAUGCUUUUACUCCUGAAGACAAUUUAAUGAUGUUCAUUCUUCUUCAUUCUUCCAGUUUACGAAAAUCUCUGCCUUAUAGGGCCGGUUCAUAUUGGCAUGGAGGAGGCACAGAGGUUUAUUUGGCUGGCCUUGAGGGGGAGACCAAAGCAAAACUUCAACAUGUUCAAGUUACGGAGAUCCAUGAGUUUCAUAGAACAUAUAAACGCUGGUGGGCAACCCGCCGUGCUGGGGACCUUCGCGCGCGCACGAUCGCUGGCCGUUCGAUCAGCUUCUUCGAUCGUUUUUCACCCUCAAUUUUUACUAUUCACUUCUAUCUUUUGUUACAACUUUGACUGCUUUACCGGGUGGCUGCCAUUGGGCCCAUAAAAUCAUUGGUCCACGCAGCAGCGGAGUGCUCAUCAACUCGGUCUGUGACAAGCAGCAGCAGCAGCAUCAUGGUUGGGUUGGAGCUACAUUGGCCAGCCACCAGGACGACGCUGAUAGCCAAAGAAAGCUCAUUCCCCACCGCUGACAGCCAAAACCGCUCUUGUGCUCAUCAAGGUUAAUCAAUGUAUAGGACUGCACUUUUGUGUGUCCUUUCCUUCAAGCUGUCAUUCAAUAGAAGAGAGGAGCGAGGCCUCGAUCCAGACUCAGGAGGAGACGAGGAGCAACACCUAUUUUUAUUGUCCGUCAAGCGCUAUUAUACUUUGCGGUUCCAGCCACCUGAUCACUAACCUGAAUGAGUAAGUAGACCAUUUUAUAUGAUGGUCUUGCUUCCUUUUGUGAUCAUGUAUCUAUGUUAGAUCCGGUGAAAAAAGGCGGCUUCCAAGCAGAGGAUGCGGCAGUGUUGGCCACGUUUGGUUUUCAUAAGCUAAUAAUGUAUCCCUUCCUAUCUACUUCCUACGUGUACCACAUUGUAACUAAGCAUCUAUGUACCAGUAGUAAAGACUUGAGUGUCUGAAUAUUCUCACAAUAGUUGUCUCCCUCUC